rnacentral:rRNA from 1 species
AUUGAACGCUGGCGGCAUGCCUUACACAUGCAAGUCGAACGGUAGCGCGGGGCAACCUGGCGACGAGUGGCGAACGGGUGAGUAAUGCAUCGGAACGUGCCCAGAAGUGGGGGAUAGCCCGGCGAAAGCCGGAUUAAUACCGCAUGAGACCUGAGGGUGAAAGCGGGGGAUCGCAAGACCUCGCGCUUUUGGAGCGGCCGAUGUCAGAUUAGCUAGUUGGUGGGGUAAAGGCCUACCAAGGCGAUGAUCUGUAGCUGGUCUGAGAGGACGACCAGCCACACUGGGACUGAGACACGGCCCAGACUCCUACGGGAGGCAGCAGUGGGGAAUUUUGGACAAUGGGCGCAAGCCUGAUCCAGCCAUGCCGCGUGCGGGAAGAAGGCCUUCGGGUUGUAAACCGCUUUUGUCAGGGAAGAAACGCUCUGGGCUAAUACCCUGGGGUAAUGACGGUACCUGAAGAAUAAGCACCGGCUAACUACGUG